AUGAACCUCAACGACGUUUCAGCUGAUGUCCUUGCAAGCAAAACAGCAGAAUUGGAAAAAAUACUGAAUUCUACGUUCACGCUAGAGACAGCAGGCGUCGUUGAGAUCACAGUACCAGAAGGCCCGGUAAAAUAUGAUUCUAAACAGACAAUUCUCUGCCAAGCCAAGGAGGACAUGAAACCAAUUGAAUGGGUUUUGAAAAGGAGUGACGGUAAAACAUUUGACGUAACAACAGGCACUGAUGCUACAGUGAUACCCACUAGUAGGAAGACUACAAUUCUCCUCAGACAGGCAACGGAGAUCUGGGAAGGGCUGUACACGUGUGUCUUCAACCCAAAAUCAUCCAAUGUGACCAUAAACCACAAAGCCAGUGCAACACUAGACAUAGCGCUCCUGCCACAAAUUUACAUUAGUAGCACGCCCCAAUUUCCAGACUGUUACACGAAAUAUAAUGCAAAUGAUAGAAUCUUUGUCAGAGUUCAAUGUGAAAUUAUGAAUAGCACUGAAAACUACAAUGUGACAUGGAAUUACACCAACACUGAAACUCCAUUAAAUGAACAAAAAGAUGUUACCGGUACUGGCAUAAUUUACAGGAUUGAUACGACUGUCAGCUGCAGCAGUUUACAAGAGCCAGCUGUAACAUGUACAUUUAUGAACAUCCUGUCCCAAGAGAAAAAUGCUACUGUCAAUAUCCCUGUUAUCUACAGUAGGUUUUCAGUACCAUUAUCCAGCAUUGUAUUUUGCCAUAUGAACAAUUAUGCUCUAAAUUGGUACAGUAACAUUCAGCGGCAUACCCCAAUCUUCUUGGAAUGGGUAACAAACGCAAGCAUAUUUUCAGUUAAAUCUAUGAUAAAUAUACUGAACAAAAAUAUAAAAAUGCAACAUGGAACAAUUUCAAACAUUUUAUUGAGUUACAGUUCAUAUAAGGAAAUCAGUCAAUUUAAAUAAAUGUAUUAGGCCCUAUCUAUGGAUUUCACAUGACUGGGCAGGGGAGCAGCCAUGGGUGGGCCUGUGAUGGAACAGGGCCACCCACUUGGGAGCUGUCCCAGCCAAUCAGAAUGAGUUUUUCCACACAAAGGGUUUUAUUACAGACAUAAAUAUUCCUCAGUUUCAUCAGCAGUCUGGGUGGCUGGUCUCAGACAAUCCCACAGGUAAAGAAGCUGGAUGUGGAGGUUCCUGGGCUGGCGUGCUUACACGUGGUCUGCGGUUGUGAGGCAGGUUGGACGAACUGCCAAAUUCUCUAAAACAACAUUGGAGGCGGCUUAUGGUAGAGAAAUUAGCUUUAAAUUCUCGUACAACAGCUCUUGCGGACAUUACUGCAGUCAGCAUGCCAAUUGCCUGCUCUCUUAAAACUUUUGAGUGGCCUUUUAUUGUUCCCAGCACAAAGUGCACCUGUGUAAUGAUCCUGCUGUUUAAUCAGCUUCUUGAUCUGCCACAACUGUCAGGUGGACGGAUUAUCUUGGCAAAGGAGAAAUGUUCAUUAACAGGGAUGUAAAGAAAUUUGUACACACAAUUUGAGAGAAAAAGUUUUGUGCAAAUGGAAACAUUUGGGGAUAUUUUAUUAAAGCUCAUGAAACAUGGGACCAACACUUUACAUGUUGACUUUAUAUUUUUGUUCAGUAUAGUAUCAUUUUUUAAAUUCUUGGGUGAGUUCCAGGACGACUUCAUUACAGACGUUGAAUUGCAUCAACCAUGGGUUGUGUGACACGUCAUCGACUUCAGUCGGGCAUCAGAUUGCUAUAUCAUAUGUGGUUAUCAUCCUAUCCAGGUAUCAGAUUACAGUCGACCUGGAACUCAACCAUUGUCUUGAACUUCUGAAACUAAGCAGGGUUGGUCCCUGGAUGGGAGACCAGAUGCUGCUGGAAGUGGUGUUGGAGGGUCAGUAGGAGGCACCCCUUCCUCUGGUCUCAGUGACACUGCCCUGUGUAGGGUGCCGUCUUUCGGAUGGGACGUUAAAACGGGUGUACUGACUCUCUGUGGUCACUAAAGAUACCAUGACACUUAUCGUACGAGUAGGGGUGUUAACCCCGGUGUCCUGGUUAAAUUCCCAAUCUGGCCCUCAUACCAUCAUGGUCACCUAAUAAUCCCCAGUUUACAAUUGGCUCAUUCAUCCCCCUCCUCUCCCCUGUAACUAUUCCCCAGUUUGUUGCUGUAAAUGAUAAUGUGUUCUCAGUCAAUUUACCUGGUAAAAUAAGGGUUAAAAACAGAUUUUUAAAAGCCACCCUAUUUAUUGUUCAUCUAAAAUGGUGAAAAUAUGUCUUGAAUAUCUAUUUCUUACUUAUUGUCAACGAUUCUGUUUAUUUCCACAGGCAAUUCAAAAUUUUGUCAUGCUGAAGGUGACUGGUCAAACGCAAAGGCUAACUUUACGGCGGUGCUGAAGUGUAAAAAUGGUAUUGGAAAAACCCAGAGACGGUGUUUGAGUAAUGGAGUUUGGGAGGAGGAAAUAUCUAACUGUGUGAAUGUAGAUCUACAUGACAUCCUAAUUGAUUCACAGGUAUUAAAACAAAUCAUCCUAAUUGAUUCACAGGUAUUAAAACAUAUCAUCCUAAUUGAUUCACAGGUAUUAAAACAAAUCAUCCUAAUUGAUUCACAGGUAUUAAAACAUAUCAUCCUAAUUGAUUCACAGGUAUUAAAACAAAUCAUCCUAAUUGAUUCACAGGUAUUAAAACAAAUCAUCCUAAUUGAUUCACAGGUAUUAAAACAAAUCAUCCUAAUUGAUUCACAGGUAUUAAAACAAAUCAUCCUAAUUGAUUCAUUGGGUUGAGCGUGCAGAGAUUGACACAGAGACAGGGAGGCUUUAGUCCGAAAAAACUACUUUACUAAGACAGAAAAUUAAUACAUCAAAGAAAUAACUUAGGUUUUGCUCGGUCUUUCUUCUCUCUCUUAACUGGUGUCUGUCUCUCUCCCGCGGUGUGCCAUCGUGCUCCUUUUAUUUAGCCUCCACGGCUUUCCUCUAAUUAAAUCCACUUAGCUGUCCGUCUCGGGCUGCCCAGCUCCCAUAUGCCCAGCAGAGGGAGCCAACGUCGCCUCACGUAUCUCCCCUCUAUUACCAUCCCCCGGGGUAGACCUCCUGGGACACCAACCAAUAUUGAAUUUUAAAAGCACCUUUAAAAUAAUUUUAAAAUCCCUUUAAUAUAAACCAUAUGAAUAAUUCUAUAAAUGAUGGUUUUUAAUAUGCAUAAAACUUGCUAAAGUGACAAAAUUCAGCAUCCCUCCGCACAACCUCUGAGUCUCCUAGGAAGAUCUAAAUAAACAGCUGGGCCUCAAUACGCCAAUGAGCAGCCAUUUUGACUGCAACGUUCUAACAGUAAUAAAUACAUUUCAUAAAUGCCAUCAGAAAAAUGAUUCUUCACUUGUGUUUAUGAAGGUCUUGGGUAACAGAAGAAGAAAAAAAGUAUUUAAAAAAACAAUAGGAUUUUCAUUAGUUAAUGUUACUUACUGUAAGCCAUCUGCUGCAGCAUGCUCAUGUGUAGAGCACAAAGGAACAGCGGUUAUUCUUGGAAAAAGUGAUAUUUUCAAAUAAAGCUAAUCUCUUACAUUUCAAGUGUUAUUUGGCAAAGGUUAGUGAAACCACAAUAUGUUCUGUGAUACUAUACUACUUUAAUAUUGGAAAAAGUAACUUAACAGCUUAUAACAGGAAUUAUGCUUAUGAAAUUAUAAUAAUCAUAAGUGUUAAAUAUACUUAUUUAGGACAAGUCAAGGGCAGAGGGGGACAUUGCAGAGACAUUUCCAUUUUAAAUGAAUUACUAUGCAGUCAAAAUGACUGGGAUCGGAGCUUCUAGUGUUAACCCACUUCACCCCAAAAUGACUGGGAUCGGAGCUUCUAGUGUUAACCCACUUCACCCCAAAAUGACUGGGAUCGGAGCUUCUAGUGUUAACCCACUUCACCCCAAAAUGUCUCAAAAUGUUCACCAUCAUUGUAAAAUUAUUUUGUUGCUUUGACAAAGUGAUUUCUGAAGAUUAUCAUUUAUUUAUUUAUAGAUAAGAAAGGCUAGAAAUGUUUGUUUUUUUGUGAAGAAUUAAAUUGCCAUUCCCUGUUGUCAGAAGUGGAUUGAUUUAUGGCUGAUUUAAGAUGUCAACCCUCUUACUUUAGUUGGCACCUAUUAUGCACUUUCAUAGUCUUUUUUUACGUCUUGAGAUGGGAAAACCUUUUUUUCUGAAGUUGAACAUGUGCUCUUUAUGACCGAAUGUUAAAAUUAGGGGAAAUGAACCAAAAAAAUGGGGGGGGGGGGGGUCGAGUUACACUUCUCAAAAGGCACUGAAUUGGUGGAUCGACCCGUAGACCCAUUCAUUCUAGAAUAAUAUAACUUAAAAUGCCUCAUGAGCUUAGUUCAACUGCUGUACCCACAAUAUAUUAUCUUGUUUUUUUAUUCCAUUGUUGGUAAACAAUGUAUUUGUAAACAAACACUAGCUUCAAAACAUGGUUAAAACUAUCAUUUUGAUCUUAUUCAGAGUGCUUACAUUUUUCCAGCCCCAUCCCUCAGCUGUUUCCCAAAACAAGUGGCGGGGUGGCCGUAUUGUCAUUUAAAUUACUUUUUGUUAUUAUAAAAGGCAUAUAUUCUAAACUGCUCUAAACUGUAGUUUUUGUAUGCAUUUUUUUUCUAUCAUUACAGAACCUUGCAAUAGGACUCGGAUCAGUUGAGAAAAAUUCUGCAAACAUAUUUUCACGUCUGAAAUCUUCCACCGAUAAAUCAGAAUCCAUCAACACUUAUGCUAAUGUGAAUGCUUCGGUGUCCAUUCUCUUCACCAUGAACAACGCAAUCAACGAAUCUCAAAAAAAUUACACACUGAAUAAGGCUCAAUUACAAGUAAGUAUAAUUCAAAAUCAUCUUUACCAGAAUGUUAUUUAUCUGUUCUUCAGUAUGUACGAUUUAUAAUAACAAAAGAUUAAGUAAACAGAAAUGUAAUUUUUUACAUUUU
rnacentral:lncRNA from 13 species